rnacentral:rRNA from 1 species
CACUGGGAUAGCCUCGGGAAACCGAGGUUAAUACCGGAUACUCCAUAUUUGUCGCAUGGCGAAUAUGGGAAAGCUCCGGCGGCAAAGGAUGGGCCCGCGGCCUGUUAGCUAGUUGGUGGGGUAGUGGCCUACCAAGGCAAUGACGGGUAGCCGGGUUGAGAGACCGACCGGCCAGAUUGGGACUGAGACACGGCCCAGACUCCUACGGGAGGCAGCAGUGGGGAAUCUUGCACAAUGGGCGAAAGCCUGAUGCAGCGACGCCGCGUGCGGGAUGAAGGCCUUCGGGUUGUAAACCGCUUUCAGCAGGGGCGAGGCCGCAAGGUGACGGUACCUGCAGAAGAAGCCCCGGCUAACUACGUGCCAGCAGCCGCGGUAAAU